UGCUCUAUUUCCAUAAUCUUUUAUAUUCUUCCUCUGAUAAUCUUAUAUCUGUGAGAUAUUUUGUAAGCUCUGUAUAUUCCUCAGUAGCAGCAUAGCUUAGCGGUUGGCCGAAAUUUAAGUGCCAGUCAGAAUGAGAUAAGAAGUUGUUUAUAUUGAUAAGUGUAUUGAUGGCUAACGCAUGGAGAUUAGGUAGAGGCAUGCUUAAAGGAUAGUCGUUCAGUCAAGCAUCAUACCAG
rnacentral:lncRNA from 1 species